UGCGGAACCCUUGUUCUUAAAGGAGUACUCAAUGAGACUGUCUCCAAUCAUCUUCUUCGACAUCUUAUUCUUCUCCGGUCAGGUCCCAACUUGAUGCCUCCCAAAAAGGCAUCCACCAGACAAUCUACGGCCUCCAUGGCCGGAUCUCAGCAAGAUUCGCCAGCUCCGAUCUCGUCUCUAGUUUUUCAAGCUCCUCCUCCUCCGGCAACGGCAAUCGGCAUGGAGUAGUUCGACCUGUUGCUUCAGUAGGUCAGGGG
rnacentral:lncRNA from 1 species